rnacentral:rRNA from 1 species
UACGUAGGGUGCGAGCGUUAAUCGGAAUUACUGGGCGUAAAGCGUGCGCAGGCGGUUCGUUGUGUCGGCGGUGAAAGCCCCGGGCUCAACCUGGGAAUGGCCGUUGAAACUGGCGAACUGGAGUGUGGCAGAGGGGGGGUGGAAUUCCGCGUGUAGCAGUGAAAUGCGUAGAGAUGCAGAGGAACACCGAUGGCGAAGGCAGCCCCCCUGGGCUGACACUGACGCUCAGGCACGAAAGCGUGGGGAGCAAACAGG